AAUCGGAAGAAAGACAACUUGUCGUUCUUCCCGAACCUCAACUCACAAUGCCUCCGAGAAAGGCAAUAACAAAGGUGAAGUUGCACAGCGCUGAGAGUGUUGAUACCGACCUCCAGAACUGUUUGUUGCGCAUCGAUAAGGGUACCGACGUGUAUGGGAUGUUGGUGAUUGAGUUGGACAGUGGCCGCUCUCCCAAGGCGUGCGAGCUCGUUGCUCAAAACAUUCCUGCGUCAAACACAACCGACAAGAGUCGCGGAAAGCAGGGUGUUUACAAGAACUGCCGUUUUACGCGCCUGACCAAAGAAGGAAUUCAGACUGGCGAAGUUGUUCCGGCUGCCAAACCUGUUCCCGCAGCCGAGCUGGAGGGCGAGAUAGGUCGCGUGCCGCACUGCUACGGCGCAGUAUCGCUGUGUCGAAGCUCGACCUCUUUCGACGGAUCACAGUUUUUCAUCUGUCUUACCAGCGAUUCUGUGGAGCUCGAUCACUUAAACAAGAAGCACGUUUGCUUUGGACGCGUUGUCGAGGGACAUGAUGUCUUGGCAGCUUUGCAGAGUGAUUUGGCCGAAUAUUCUGGCGACAUGGGCCUAGUCCGCAAGGACUGUCCGUAUGUGAUGGCGGAGCUCAGCUACGCAUCGAUGUAAACUAGUUUCACGGCUUGAACUUGCUGCAUUGAAAUGCUAUCAAGCAACGACAAAAAAAAAACAAAUGAUGCUUUUCUCUAGAGAGCGGUCUUGCUCAUUUCGUACGCCACAGUGCGUUUGGAUGGGCUUCAAAGUGCGGUUCUUUUGUGUGCGCCUUCACUUUCAAGCGAACGAUGCUAUUUGCUGCCACUUCUGUUACGGAUUACGCUCUUUUAUCUCAUUCGCCAAUGUCGGCGUCUUGUUGCCGGUUUCAUUACUACGGUCCUAAG
rnacentral:misc_RNA from 1 species